rnacentral:rRNA from 1 species
UACGGAGGGUGCGAGCGUUGUCCGGAAUCACUGGGCGUAAAGGGCGCGUAGGUGGCCUGUGGAAGUCUGCGGUGAAAGCCCGGCGCUCAACGCCGGGUCGGCCGUGGAUACUCUCGGGCUCGAGCUUACUAGAGGUAGAUGGAAUUCCGGGUGUAGCGGUGGAAUGCGUAGAGAUCCGGAAGAACACCGGUGGCGAAGGCGGUCUGCUGGGGUAAUGCUGACACUGAUGCGCGACAGCGUGGGGAGCAAACAGG